rnacentral:rRNA from 1 species
GAACUGAAACAUCUAAGUACCCCGAGGAAAAGAAAUCAACCGAGAUUCCCCCAGUAGCGGCGAGCGAACGGGGAGGAGCCCAGAACCUGAAUCAGCGUAUGUGUUAGUGGAAGCGUCUGGAAAGUCGCACGGUACAGGGUGAUAGUCCCGUACACAAAAAUGCAUAUGUUGUGAGUUCGAUGAGUAGGGCGGGACACGUGACAUCCUGUCUGAAUAUGGGGGGACCAUCCUCCAAGGCUAAAUACUCCUGACUGACCGAUAGUGAACCAGUACCGUGAGGGAAAGGCGAAAAGAACCCCGGCGAGGGGAGUGAAACAGAACCUGAAACCGUGUACGUACAAGCAGUGGGAGCACCUUCGUGGUGUGACUGCGUACCUUUUGUAUAAUGGGUCAGCGACUUAUAUUUUGUAGCAAGGUUAACCGAAUAGGGGAGCCGUAGGGAAACCGAGUCUUAACUGGGCGAAUAGUUGCAAGGUAUAGACCCGAAACCCGGUGAUCUAGCCAUGGGCAGGUUGAAGGUUGGGUAACACUAACUGGAGGACCGAACCGACUAAUGUUGAAAAAUUAGCGGAUGACUUGUGGCUGGGGGUGAAAGGCCAAUCAAACCGGGAGAUAGCUGGUUCUCCCCGAAAGCUAUUUAGGUAGCGCCUCGUGAACUCAUCUUCGGGGGUAGAGCACUGUUUCGGCUAGGGGGUCAUCCCGACUUACCAAACCGAUGCAAACUCCGAAUACCGAAGAAUGUUAUCACGGGAGACACACGGCGGGUGCUAACGUCCGUCGUGAAGAGGGAAACAACCCAGACCGCCAGCUAAGGUCCCAAAGUCAUGGUUAAGUGGGAAACGAUGUGGGAAGGCACAGACAGCCAGGAUGUUGGCUUAGAAGCAGCCAUCAUUUAAAGAAAGCGUAAUAGCUCACUGGUCGAGUCGGCCUGCGCGGAAGAUGUAACGGGGCUAAACCAUGCACCGAAGCUGCGGCAGCGAACGUAUCACUUAAAACGCUUAACGUGACGGCAAAGCCGGCAUGUUCAAGCCACACUAAACGUUGAGUUGGCCGAUGUGCUGACAAACGAACAGGCGUUUUAAGGAUACGUUCGUUGGGUAGGGGAGCGUUCUGUAAGCCGUUGAAGGUGGCCUGUGAGGGUUGCUGGAGGUAUCAGAAGUGCGAAUGCUGACAUAAGUAACGAUAAUGCGGGUGAAAAACCCGCACGCCGGAAGACCAAGGGUUCCUGUCCAACGUUAAUCGGGGCAGGGUGAGUCGACCCCUAAGGCGAGGCUGAAAAGCGUAGUCGAUGGGAAACAGGUUAAUAUUCCUGUACUUGGUGUUACUGCGAAGGGGGGACGGAGAAGGCUAGGCUAGCCGGGCGACGGUUGUCCCGGUUUAAGCAUGUAGGCGGAGUGACCAGGUAAAUCCGGUUGCUUAUCAACGCUGAGGUGUGAUGACGAGUCACUACGGUGAUGAAGUAGUUGAUGCCAUGCUUCCAGGAAAAGCCUCUAAGCAUCAGGUAACAUGAAAUCGUACCCCAAACCGACACAGGUGGUCAGGUAGAGAAUACUCAGGCGCUUGAGAGAACUCGGGUGAAGGAACUAGGCAAAAUGGUGCCGUAACUUCGGGAGAAGGCACGCUGGCAUUAGGUAAAGGGACUUGCUCCCGGCGCCGAAGCCAGUCGCAGAUACCAGCUGGCUGCAACUGUUUAAUAAAAACACAGCACUGUGCAAACACGAAAGUGGACGUAUACGGUGUGACGCCUGCCCGGUGCUGGAAGGUUAAUUGAUGGGGUCAGCCGCAAGGCGAAGCUCUUGAUCGAAGCCCCAGUAAACGGCGGCCGUAACUAUAACGGUCCUAAGGUAGCGAAAUUCCUUGUCGGGUAAGUUCCGACCUGCACGAAUGGCGUAAUGAUGGCCAGGCUGUCUCCACCCGAGACUCAGUGAAAUUGAACUCGCUGUGAAGAUGCAGUGUACCCGCGGCAAGACGGAAAGACCCCGUGAACCUUUACUAUAGCUUGACACUGAACAUUGAGCCUUGAUGUGUAGGAUAGGUGGGAGGCAUAGAAGUGUGGACGCCAGUCUGCAUGGAGCCAACCUUGAAAUACCACCCUUUAAUGUUUGAUGUUCUAACUCGGCCCCGUAAUCCGGGGUGAGGACAGUGUCUGGUGGGUAGUUUGACUGGGGCGGUCUCCUCCCAAAGAGUAACGGAGGAGCACGAAGG